UACAGAGGGGCCAAGCGUUAGUCGGAAUCACUGGGCUUAAAGCGCUUGCAGGCGGCUUGUUAAGUUCCGUGUGAAAUCCCCAGGCUUAACCUGGGAAGUGCGCGGAAAACUGGCGAGCUUGAGUGCCGGAGAGGGUCGCGGAAUUCCCGGUGUAGAGGUGAAAUUCGUAGAUAUCGGGAGGAACACCAGUGGCGAAGGCGGCGACCUGGGCGGACACUGACGCUGAGGCGCGAAAGCGUGGGGAGCGAACAGG
rnacentral:rRNA from 1 species